GAUGAACGCUGGCGGCGUGCCUAAUACAUGCAAGUAGAACGCUGAAGCUUGGUGCUUGCACCGAGCGGAUGAGUUGCGAACGGGUGAGUAACGCGUAGGUAACCUGCCUGGUAGCGGGGGAUAACUAUUGGAAACGAUAGCUAAUACCGCAUGACAACAGUUAUUGCAUGAUAACUGUUUAAAAGGGGCAAUUGCUCCACUACCAGAUGGACCUGCGUUGUAUUAGCUAGUUGGUGAGGUAACGGCUCACCAAGGCGACGAUACAUAGCCGACCUGAGAGGGUGAUCGGCCACACUGGGACUGAGACACGGCCCAGACUCCUACGGGAGGCAGCAGGAGGGAAUCUUCGGCAAUGGACGGAAGUCUGACCGAGCAACGCCGCGUGAGUGAAGAAGGGUGUCGGAUCGUAAAGCUCUGUUGUAAGAGAAGAACGAGUGUGAGAGUGGAAAGUUCACACUGUGACGGUAUCUUACCAGAAAGGGACGGCUAACUACGUG
rnacentral:rRNA from 1 species